AAUUUUGGACAAUGGGCGCAAGCCUGAUCCAGCAAUGCCGCGUGUGUGACGAAGGCCUUCGGGUUGUAAAGCACUUUUGUUCGGGAAGAAAUCUGUCGGGAUAAUACCUCGACGGGAUGACGGUACCGGAAGAAUAAGCACCGGCUAACUUCGUGCCAGCAGCCGCGGUAAUACGAAGGGUGCAAGCGUUACUCGGAAUUACUGGGCGUAAAGCGUGCGUAGGUGGUUUGUUAAGUCUGAUGUGAAAGCCCUGGGCUCAACCUGGGAACUGCAUUGGAUACUGGCUUACUAGAGUGCGGUAGAGGGUAGCGGAAUUCCCGGUGUAGCAGUGAAAUGCGUAGAUAUCGGGAGGAACAUCCGUGGCGAAGGCGGCUACCUGGACCAGCACUGACACUGAGGCACGAAAGCGUGGGGAGCAAACAG
rnacentral:rRNA from 1 species